UUGGGUGUCUCUCCUGUAUAAAGACAUGCGCCUCCUUCCACAGGCGACUUCGCCGCCCGCUGUUCUAUCAAACCCUAGCCGCCAUCGCAGAUGGCGAUCUGCGUCUCAUCCCGAUUCCUUUUGCUGGUCUUUCUUCGCCUAUCUAGUGUGCGUUUCUUGCUUCUUGCCUGCUUCCCUGAAAGGAUGUGCUUCUUCUUGCUGCAAAGUGAUGCUUCUUCUUCUUCUUGCUGCCAGGUGAUGCUUUGGGUUAUUGCGCAAGGGCUUUGAGCAGUUCAUGGCAUGUUUUUGCCUGACGCGAUGAGAUCACAAAUUAUUUACCAUCCCUUCUGAUGGCAGCACCUCGUUCAUCUCUCUCCCCUUCGUUUGAUGAUUUUUUUUUUGAGGCAACCCUUCGUUUGAUGAUGGUUGUAUGCAAUUAAGCAAGAAAAUCGUGCCGUUCCGAGUUCUUUUUUCUCUGUUUUGUAGUAAUUAACAAUCUGGUGCCUUUUUGCCCUCGUUUACUUUUCACAAAAUCUUCCGUUGCCAAGUGAUGUUCGGGUUAUUGCGCAAGGGCUUUGAGCAAUUCGUUGGCACUUUUGUGCUAAUGCCGUGAAAUUAAAACUACAUGACAUCCCUCCUGAUGGCAAUUUGGUACUCAAGUACUUUGUAGAUAUUACAACCAUAAGCACUAGACAAUGUUUUUCGGUGUAAUUUGUAUGGACUUAUUUCUUAAUUGUUUUCAGAAUAAUUGUAUCGGCUUCGUGAAGUUUAA
rnacentral:lncRNA from 1 species